rnacentral:rRNA from 1 species
AAUAGAUACCCCGGUAGUCCACGCCGUAAACGAUGGAGGCUAGCCGUUGGCGAGCAUGCUCGUCAGUGGCGCAGCUAACGCAUUAAGCCUCCCGCCUGGGGAGUACGGUCGCAAGAUUAAAACUCAAAGGAAUUGACGGGGGCCCGCACAAGCGGUGGAGCAUGUGGUUCAAUUCGAAGCAACGCGCAGAACCUUACCAGCCCUUGACAUGCCGGUCGCGGGCACCAGAGAUGGAGCCUUUCAGUUCGGCUGGACCGGACACAGGUGCUGCAUGGCUGUCGUCAGCUCGUAUCGUGAGAUGUUGGGUUAAGUCCCGCAACGAGCGCAACCCUGCCCUUAGUUGCCAUCAUUUAGUUGGGCACUCUAAGGGGACUGCCGGUGAUAAGCCGCGAGGAAGUGGGAUGACGUCAAGUCCUCAUGGCCCUUACGGGCUGGGCUACGACACGUGCUACAAUGGCGGUGACAGUGGGAUGCAAUGGAGUAAUCCGUGCGCAAAUCUCAAAAAGCCGU